GACUCUCGGCAAGGGAUAUCUCGGCUCUCGCAUCGAUGAAGAACGUAGCAAAAUGUGAUACGUGGUGUGAAUUAUAGAAUCCCGUAAACCAUCGUGUCUUUGUGCCCCAAGCCAUUAGACCGAGGGCAUGUCUUCUUGGGUGUCA
rfam:Gossypium raimondii Chr08_contig_438, whole genome shotgun sequence.